AGUGAACGCUGGCGGUAGGCCUAACACAUGCAAGUCGAACGGCAGCACAGUAAGAGCUUGCUCUUACGGGUGGCGAGUGGCGGACGGGUGAGGAAUACAUCGGAAUCUACUUUUUCGUGGGGGAUAACGAAGGGAAACUUACGCUAAUACCGCAUACGACCUACGGGUGAAAGCAGGGGAUCUUCGGACCUUGCGCGAUUAAAUGAGCCGAUGUCGGAUUAGCUAGUUGGCGGGGUAAAGGCCCACCAAGGCGACGAUCCGUCGCUGGUCUGAGAGGAUGAUCAGCCACACUGGAACUGAGACACGGUCCAGACUCCUACGGGAGGCAGCAGUGGGGAAUAUUGGACAAUGGGCGCAAGCCUGAUCCAGCCAUACCGCGUGGGUGAAGAAGGCCUUCGGGUUGUAAAGCCCUUUUGUUGUUAAAGAAAAGCAGCAGGUUAAUACCCCGCUGUUCUGACGGUACCCAAAGAAUAAGCACCGGCUAACUUCGUG
rnacentral:rRNA from 1 species